CCAGGAUGGAGAACAGGGGUCAGGAUGGAGAACAGGGGUCAGGAUGGAGAACAGGGGUCAGGAUGGAGAACAGGGGUCAGGAUGGAGAACAGGGGUCAGGAUGGAGAACAGGUGUCAGGAUGGAGAACAGGUGUCAGGAUGGAGAACAGGGGUCAGGAUGGAGAACAGGGGUCAGGAUGGAGAACAGGGGUCAGGAUGGAGAACAGGGGUCAGGAUGGAGAACAGGGGUCAGGAUGGAGAACAGGGGUCAGGAUGGAGAACAGGGGUCAUGGUGGAGAACAGGGGUCAUGGUGGAGAACAGGGGUCAGGAUGGAGAACAGGGGUCAGGAUGGAGAACAGGGGUCAUGGUGGAGAACAGGGGUCAGGAUGGAGAACAGGGGUCAGGAUGGAGAACAGGGGUCAGGAUGGAGAACAGGUGUCAGGAUGGAGAACAGGUGUCAGGAUGGAGAACAGGUGUCAGGAUGGAGAACAGGGGUCAGGAUGGAGAACAGGUGUCAGGAUGGAGAACAGGGGUCAUGGUGGAGAACAGGGGUCAUGGUGGAGAACAGGGGUCAGGAUGGAGAACAGGGGUCAGGAUGGAGAACAGGGGUCAUGGUGGAGAACAGGGG
ensembl:lncRNA